AGGAAACAAUCACCCUUGCUCUUUGAGAAGUAAAAAGAAGAAAGAGGGGGAAAUCUAAAGUGCUAAUUCUGUGUCCCCCCAACCCCUGCCCCUUUCACAGAGGCGUCCACCCAGCCGUUCAGAGUCUGCUGCUGACAAGAGUGCCUGGAGCAACUAGACUUGGACGGGAGAUGCUGGUGGUGUUUUGUAUUGCUGCAGAUGAAUCUGAAGAGACUGGACCCUGGGAGACACUCUUUGUUAUGUGGUAGUUUCUUCAGGGCUUUGUAGAAUGUCACUUUGAAAAUGUAACACGAUGGAAAUCGUGGCAGAGCUGGAGGUAGUUGAGGACCACUGACAGGAGCGUUCCAGCCUGGCACAGGGCAUCCUGCAGCUGAGCUGCUUCCAUGGGGCAAAAUGGAGGCAUGUCUUCCUAGCAGUGCGCGGAAACCUCAGCGAAGCAGCAGUCUGGUUCUCAUGGUAACCAGGAUUUCCAUAUACUGCAGGGGUACACACAGUCUGACAUCACUUUGCUGCAGGGAGGAUUUCUGUGCAUACUCAAGGACUAAAUUAAGCCCUCUGUAAAAGGAGAAUGUGUGUCCAUUUUCAUGUCUGUAAGUGUAUGGCUUUCCUUAUGUGAAUGGAAGAUGAAAAGUGAGAGAAAAAGAGGUUGCAAAAUUUUAUUUCUCUAAGCAGAAAUAACCCUGACACAACCAUCUUCUCAUUUUUAGUUUGCACCUCAUUUUAAAAAGCAAUAAUAUCUUGCACAGCUGGGAGGAAAGAAGAUGCUAGCAGCUUCUUUAGGUCUAGAGAAAAUGUGCUUUGGUAAUCAGAACAUAGGGAAAAAGAUUUACUGAACGUUAGGAGGUCCUUUUUGCUGCAACAACAUAUAUACAGAUUUUAGCAGGGAAAGACUGUAAUGAAGAUGUGAUAUUCAUCAUGCAUGGCACAGUGACAUCUGGUGUAAGACGUGCUGUGCUGUGUGCUGCAGUUCCCAGCUAGGAAGAUAAUCCAUGUGCUUUGGUGUUAUCAGACUCUGCCGUGGAGCCCAGUGAGAGGUCUCCUUGCCCCUCAUUUAAGAUGAGCCAUACUUAUUGUAAUAUCUUCCAGGGCCCCAUGUUACUCAAUUCUGUAUAUAUAUUCUGUCAUGGGGAAUUAUGAUACAAGAAAACCUGACUUGAGAUCUCCAUAUUCCCAUUGUUCUGUUAAGGAGAUUGGCGCUCCCUGAGUGUGAAAGGUCUACAGUUGCUUGUAGAUCAUUUAUAAUAGGCCUGUAUAUGGACCUAAAAAAGCUUAAAAUUUCCUGGAGGUUUGGCUGGAGGUUGAAGACAUUUAGCAUACUGAGGGACCUGUUGGUUUUUUUGUUUGUUUGUUUGUUUUUUUGUUUGGUUUGUUUUGGUUUGCUUUGUUUUUUUUAAUUUUCUUUUUGGCAGUAACACCAAUUCUGAACUGAAAACACUUCUCAUACAGCUAUUUUGGCUUGUAUUGAUCUAAAUCAUUUUGAAGCCUUCCAUUUGCAGAGCUUUAGUAUGGGCUUUUGUGAGCUCUGAUAUAUGGAGAUCCUGCAGUGCCCAGGCAGACACCAGUUAUAAAGCUGCAGUUCUUCCCUUUCCCUCAUUACAAACCCUCAUCUUUCUAAAUGAAGUUCGGUGCAGCACUGCAUAGGUUUGGUAUCCACACUGCUGUCUCAACUAUAUGAUAAAAAGGCCUUUGAUUUGUUUGACUUUUGAACAGGGUUUUACUUUGCAAUGUGUUUUGUGAAGCACCAAAUAUAUUCCCAGAUGAUCACAAAUUAAGUGACGAUGUUAAAUAAACAUCAGUAUAUUUCUUCUGAAUCUAGUGUACCAUUAAGUGGUACAGAGCUUUCAACAAAUUGCUGCUUUUUCAUGUUCUAGUGAACAGAUUUUACUCUU